AUGCACGUAUCCUCCCAACGUGGAUCUAGUACAGGAAUGAGAAAGACAAUACCCAGUAAUACCAUCCUUGACCAUUUAUCCAUGAGGUUCAAGUUGGAUCCGAAAAUGAUGCAACUAAACAAGCAUGCACUCAUAUUUUUCGGUCUCCUCUGCGACAGUAUCGGUACCACCUUAGAAAAUCUCACUUUGAAGGCAAGGCUAACAAUGAAAUCGCCCAAACAUCUCCAGUGGAAUAUAUUACAGAUGAAGACUGGACAACCCUCGUUAAACAUUGGUCUGAUCCAAAGUAUCAGGCUAACUGUUUGA
rnacentral:rRNA from 1 species